GGGAGCUUCUCUUCUUCCAAGAACCAAACCUUCUCAGAGUCGAAAGAGAAGUAGUCAUGAUCCAUGAACAAUUGUUUGAGAUAUUCAAUAGAUUCAGCAGGACACACAACUAUAAGAGGUACAGAGGGCCGGUCCUCCAUCUUGAGCAAUCUGUGGCUGUCAUUUAGCAAUCCCUUGACGUGCAGAUAAGCAAUCUCCUCAUGAGGCUUAGCAGGUUCAGGAAUAAAAGACGUUCCAAGAAGCUUAGUUUCUGUCAAAGCUAAAACAAUCGCAACCUUGCCAGAAGAUAUGAGGCAAUGACCCUGCUCUU
rnacentral:misc_RNA from 1 species